UGGCAAGAUGUUGGCAUAGCUGCUGAGACGGUCUGCUAUGCCAUCCGAUUGCCAC
ensembl:miRNA gmo-mir-31 gmo-mir-31